AUCUCCCUGCAGUGCGCGUGAUUCGAGUGGAGAAUCUUGAGCCAACACUGUUUAAAUAGGGGAUCUAACUUUAUGGACGUUUAGGCGCCUGUAAGAGGAUCCCCACCUGUACAUAACAGGAUCAAGAUUAUUCAAUCUCGCACGGCACUUGCGGGGAUUUU
rnacentral:other from 1 species